UUUCACGACAACCGGAAGCUGCAUCUGAAAGGGCUGGGGCACUUCCUGUUUUGGUGACCGUAAUUCAAGUACUCUGAAAAAUGUCUCUGGUCCUCCGGUCCUUUUCAUCAUCAUUACUUAAUUUGCCAGCACUUUCUUUUGCUGAUGCGGAGGAAAUCGCAGUGGCGAAUUCGCCCACCAACAAAUGUGUGAAAGGAAACAAGUUCUUCCACAAAGAAUAUAUCCACAGCUAUCAAGGUAAGAAAAGACGUAGCUUAGCGAGCUAACCGCUAGCUACAUGAUAUGAACUACACAAACAUCGUAAUGAAGCCUAACUUAUUUUGCUAAAUUACGUGGAAUAUUGGAGACAGACGUAGUUUAAACUUUUCAAAUAUAUUUUGACAUUCUGAAAUGUAUUUGCCAGUACAGUUUGUGAAAAAUAUCAUGCUAGAACUUAGCUAUGAGAUACUAGAUGACGCUUGAUGUUGGAACUAUGCUUUUCUUCUGCAUGCCCGUAGUGUCAAAUAUUGUCGAGGGACAGAUAGUUGUCAGAGCUAGAUGCUUCAGAUCCAUGAAGAAAAAUGAGGAACCGCACAAGCUGCAGGUUUGAAACAGUCAGAAAGCCGGUUGGCUCUUGUUCGUUAGUUCGAGUUCCUGUUCAUAUUUGACAGCUGAAGAACUUUCACGUACAACUUCUGGACUCGGAGCUUAUUCUAACAUCUUCCUGUUCAGAGGUUACUAUUUGUUUUCUGUUUCUGUUGCGGUUGCAACAUAGUCUGUGUUUUUUUUCUGCUGUUGUUGAACCUUACCUUCAAACUAGAAUCUAUUACUUGUUUAAAGCUAAACAUGCUAUACAGUAUGUAUUGAUGUAUAAAUGUGUUGAUAAUACACGUGUCUAUUUUAGAUAUCCCUGGAUGUUAUAUCUAACAAUAAUAGGCUGAAUUAUUGGAUUAUUCCUGUAGCUGUGCAGCUGGUAAAGGUUUUUGCAAUCAUGUAGUUGCACUUCUUUACCAGCCUGCACACUACUGCCAAUUCCAGCUGCCAACUGUUCUUCCUGCACAAGUGAUUUACUAAGAUGGUACAGACCAAGAACACAGGGGAAACAUCCUGAACCUGUCAGCAACGUGGUGGUGCGGAAGCCCAAAGCUAUGGGGAAAAGAUAUCUGCACUCCACACUUUACAGAGCUUACACAGGUAUAAAUUCUGGUUUAUUUUUUGUACCUAUGUUUCCUUUGUCAAAACCUAUUAUGAUUAUUCCAUCCAAAUUUGGGCCUGUGCCACAGGGCUCACCAAUGUCUUAUCAGUGCCCACCUGAGAAGUCAUCUGGUACAUCAUUUUGCACCACAUGGCUCCAGACUUUCCUUUUCUUCCUUUGAUGCUGCAUAGUCUUUCAAAUCUGUGUUUUGUGCCCACACUCGGUCAACUUAUGCAUCUUCAGUCUCUGCAAGUGUCACUGGAAAUGUCUUAUGAAAUAGAGGCUAGAACAAGAGAGCAUAUAUAAGAAUAAGAAUUAUUUUCUGUAUUCCAGCUAACAGAAUGCUUGUGGACAGAAUUAAUUUGUAAAAAAUUGAAUUUUUCUACAAACUCUUUAAAUUUAAGACCACAUUGUUCUGCCACUGUUCAGGUGUACUUUUGAAGUGAACAUGUUUAGUGCAAUUUGAAAUAUGAAAUAUAAAAUAUGAUAAAAAAAAAUAUACAUUUUUGUGUUUAUUUGAUUCCUAUUCAAGACACUUUGAUAAGAAUGAAUAUAUAUUUAAUAUAGGAGGCUAUAGACUAUCAUUUGUUUACAUUUUUGGUUGGUGGUGUGCCUCGUGAUUUUUUCAAUGAAAACAAUGUACCUUGGCUCAAAACAUGUUGAAAAACACUGCUCUAAGGGACAAGUGUGUUAGAAAAUGGACGGAUGGAUAGUUUGGAAUUUGGUUAUUUUGAGAUGAGGAGCUGGAUUCCUAGUAAAAUCUGAUGAAAUUUUAAAAAUGCCAUAUUUAGCAAAAAAAAAAAUGGUUUGGAGCAGAAGAGAUUAUAUCUCCAUCCUCAUCAGUUUCAGUUCGUGCUCUUCUUCAUUCAGUUUUCCUGUCACUGAGUGACUCCAUUUUUUCUGAGAAACUUUAAUAUGUCCAAACUCAUAUCUAGCUGUGAAAAUACAACCCACUGAUCACCAGUUAAUUCCAAAACAUCUUUCUUUACAAUGAGUUUAUUUUAACCAUCCUGUUACUAUUUCUCUCAUUCUGGCUAAUUCUGUAGCUGUUCAUAGUGCUCUCGUCUUGUGUUUGUGCUUUUCUUAAAAAACUUAGUUUUAUUUUACCGUGAACCAAAGCAAGGUUCACGGGGCCAAGGCCUCACUUCACACAUACCGUAUCACAGGUCAGCUCCCUUCGAAGCUGAUCAAAACUUGAGCUUUCCUCUUCCAGCUUGCUGUUCUUUCUGGCAGCGCGCUCUGCUCUUAGGGUCUGCUGCUCUUCUUUGUAACGUUAGCAGUAGAACGAGUAACUACCGUAACUGCUGUUGUUGCACGCAACACGCUCACUCGCUCUUUCUACUCUCUGCCAUAUGGAGUCUCCGGCUACCGUAAUAACAAUCUAUAGGAAACUUUUUUUUUUCUCAUUUAUAAAACUCUAAAAUCGGGGACUUUUCCGGGGACGUCUGGUCACCCAAUCAUAGACGGCGGUAUUUAAAGAAGCCUGAAACAGCUAGGUUAGAAACCGACUCGAACCUCCUCCCUGCUGACGGUGUUGAUCAAAUUACUGACUUUGGCUGAAUUCACACCACAUGAUUUAUGUCACUAUGUCAUAAACAGUGUUUACCCUUAAAGCGGAACAGCCUUAAAAACGUACAGAGGACAAGACGCUAAUAAUUUUUUUUCCAUACAUGCUAGGCUACAUGACGGCGUGGCAUUGUUUCCAUGGUUACUGAUGGUCAGACGCUAUCUUCUCCAUAGUGCAAUAUUUGAUGUCUUUCUAAUCAUACUUAUAACGUAUAUGAACGUUAAUCUUCUUACUUUGUAUAAAGUAUUCGCUGUAAAUCUGCGGUUACACCAACAGCUGCCAGUCAUGAUUGACAGCUGCUAUCCAUCCCCGCAUCUUUCCUAAUUAAAAUAAAAUGACAAGCUUGUUUUGACAAUAACCCUGUGCAGCCGACUGUGCAGCACCUUGUGACCAUAUUACUGCGAAAUCAACUAAAUAAAAGCGAUAUAAGGAUAAAACAUGUACGUAUUUUGACAGGCUUUAUACAGGAGAGCAUAGGUUUGGACGUCUAUGGUGGUGGAGGUGUGGUAAUGUGGCCUCGUUUUUCCUUUUGAGUUCAAGUUAUGUUUUCUAUAUUUGUUGCUUAGGAUUGUUGUUAUGUUUUGAAGUGUUUAUUGUUGUGUUGCAUGUUUUUGAGGUCACGUGCCACGCGCACCCGGAGACGCCCACUGCAUCAGCACAGGUGUUCCGCAUUCUGAUUAAGCAGCGUGCAGACUGGGACUGGGAUAAAAUCAUCGAUGGUGAGACAUCUACAGGGAAGAGGCAGACGGACUUGGGCUGUUUUUUUGUGGAGGACGGCACGAGCAGGCUCAGGAACUAGCGACGAGAGGACGGGUUGCCAGGAAGCGCCAUCCGUCGGGUUACUGUUGGAGGCCGCGGGUUACUCGACUGGUCGCCGUUAAGAAGCGUGUGGCCGGCUGGAGGAGCCGUCGGGACCAGGGUGCGGCUGAGGUUCAUCAGAGGCUGGAGCUAAGCAUCUAUUUUAUAGACUCGUUUUGACUUGUUUGACAAGGACUGCCUGUGCCUCCUCUUUCUUUUGAUUUCCUGUUUUUAAAAUAAAUUAUUGGAACUUUUAUUGGUUGUUGGAACUCUGUUCACAAUCCCUGCUAGUUUAUAUUGGGUACUCCACUCGGGUGCCACAGAGGCAGUGACGUCAGGUGCAAAUGUAGCUGAGUUAAUUUUAUUUAUUUAUUUUUUAUUUUUCUUAUGAACCUUCUCAAACACCUUUUUGUUAAGUUGACAUGUCUGUUGUCGCUUUUGCACUGCUGCAGGCUAUUUCUGUUUUAUACUGCUUUUAUUUUUGGUUCCUACUGUAAAUAUUGUUCUGGGAGGACAGUUAUUAGUGGUGCACAAAGCAAGGUUCUGUCACGUAACUGCAGUAGCCAGGCAGAACCUGCCUAACUGAGCUGCUGGUAAGAUGUGUGCUAAUGCUACCUCUCACUCUCAGUAAUGUUUAUAACGUUAAAAAAUAGUUCUCACAGUUUUUGUGCUGCAUAAAAAUGUAAUGUUAACUGUCUUUAAGUGUUUUAAAAACUUUGGGUUUGAUUAAAAUUAAACUGUCACUCUUAUAAAGUUUGUCUGAAGCUUUCCCUCCAAAAUGUGUUUGUUGGGCCGCAGGGAUUUGACUGUGACUGUGUGUACCAUACCCGAUGGUUGAGUGUGUCCCACACUGUGUCUUAUAGGUCAGUUAGGAAGAAGCUGCCUAACUGAGCUGCUGGGAUCUGACUGACAGUGGUUCCAUACCUGAUGGUUGAGUGUGUCCCACACUGUGUCUUAUAGAAAUAAAUUGACGCAGAUCCUGA